rnacentral:rRNA from 1 species
AUACGUAGGGGGCGAGCGUUGCUCGGAUUGACUGGGCGUAAAGCGCGCGUAGGCGGUCCAUUAAGUGUGCGGUGAAAUUCGGAGGCUCAACCUCCGUCCCGCCGCGCAAACUGAUGGUCUUGAGAUUGGGAGGGGGAUGCGGAAUUCCUGGUGUAGCGGUGAAAUGCAUUGAUAUCAGGAGGAACACCGGCGGCGAAAGCGGCAUCCUGGCUUAUAUCUGACGCUGAGGCGCGAAAGCGUGGGUAGC